rnacentral:rRNA from 1 species
CUGGCGGCAGGCCUAACACAUGCAAGUCGAACGGUAACAGGAAGAAGCUUGCUUCUUUGCUGACGAGUGGCGGACGGGUGAGUAAUGUCUGGGAAACUGCCUGAUGGAGGGGGAUAACUACUGGAAACGGUAGCUAAUACCGCAUAACGUCGCAAGACCAAAGAGGGGGACCUUCGGGCCUCUUGCCAUCGGAUGUGCCCAGAUGGGAUUAGCUAGUAGGUGGGGUAAAGGCUCACCUAGGCGACGAUCCCUAGCUGGUCUGAGAGGAUGACCAGCCACACUGGAACUGAGACACGGUCCAGACUCCUACGGGAGGCAGCAGUGGGGAAUAUUGCACAAUGGGCGCAAGCCUGAUGCAGCCAUGCCGCGUGUAUGAAGAAGGCCUUCGGGUUGUAAAGUACUUUCAGCGGGGAGGAAGGGAGUAAAGUUAAUACCUUUGCUCAUUGACGUUACCCGCAGAAGAAGCACCGGCUAACUCCGUGCCAGCAGCCGCGGUAAUACGGAGGGUGCAAGCGUUAAUCGGAAUUACUGGGCGUAAAGCGCACGCAGGCGGUUUGUUAAGUCAGAUGUGAAAUCCCCGGGCUCAACCUGGGAACUGCAUCUGAUACUGGCAAGCUUGAGUCUCGUAGAGGGGGGUAGAAUUCCAGGUGUAGCGGUGAAAUGCGUAGAGAUCUGGAGGGAUACCGGUGGCGAAAGCGGCCCCCUGGACGAAUACUGACGCUCAGGUGCGAAAGCGUGGGGAGCAAACAGGAUUAGAUACCUUGGUAGUCCACGCCGUAAACGAUGUCGACUUGGAGGUUGUGCCCUUGAGGCGUGGCUUCCGGAGCUAACGCGUUAAGUCGACCGCCUGGGGAGUACGGCCGCAAGGUUAAAACUCAAAUGAAUUGACGGGGGCCCGCACAAGCGGUGGAGCAUGUGGUUUAAUUCGAUGCAACGCGAAGAACCUUACCUGGUCUUGACAUCCACAGAACUUUCCAGAGAUGGAUUGGUGCCUUCGGGAACUGUGAGACAGGUGCUGCAUGGCUGUCGUCAGCUCGUGUUGUGAAAUGUUGGGUUAAGUCCCGCAACGAGCGCAACCCUUAUCCUUUGUUGCCAGCGGUCCGGCCGGGAACUCAAAGGAGACUGCCAGUGAUAAACUGGAGGAAGGUGGGGAUGACGUCAAGUCAUCAUGGCCCUUACGACCAGGGCUACACACGUGCUACAAUGGCGCAUACAAAGAGAAGCGACCUCGCGAGAGCAAGCGGACCUCAUAAAGUGCGUCGUAGUCCGGAUUGGAGUCUGCAACUCGACUCCAUGAAGUCGGAAUCGCUAGUAAUCGUGGAUCAGAAUGCCACGGUGAAUACGUUCCCGGGCCUUGUACACACCGCCCGUCACACCAUGGGAGUGGGUUGCAAAAGAAGUAGAUAGCUUAACCUUCGGGAGGGCGCUUACCAC